UCCGCCGUUGGCACCGCCCGGCGAGGCGGGAAUUCCGCACAGGGAGGAGCGGGAAAAGCUUCCCCUGUCCCGAAUGUAACGUGGAGAGCUUGAACUUGUGAAGAAGACUUUCAUGAAGCGAACAAAAUACCAAAAGAUCAUAUUCAGG